rnacentral:rRNA from 1 species
UACAGAGGUCCCAAGCGUUGUUCGGAUUCACUGGGCGUAAAGGGUGCGUAGGCGGUCGGGUAAGUCUGAUGUGAAAUCUCGCAGCUUAACUGUGAAACUGCGUCGGAUACUAUCCGGCUAGAGGAUUGGAAGGGAGACUGGAAUACUUGGUGUAGCAGUGAAAUGCGUAGAUAUCAAGUGGAACACCAGUGGCGAAGGCGAGUCUCUGGACAAUUCCUGACGCUGAGGCACGAAAGCCAGGGGAGCAAACGGG